rnacentral:lncRNA from 1 species
UCAAAGUCAAGCUUUAAUGUUGGAAAAUCCAACCCAAACAUUCACGUGUUACUAAUAAUCAAUUGGAACCCCAAACCAUUGUAAUUUCAUGCAAACUACUUUUAAGCCAAGUAGGCUAGUUCAAGAAAACAUACAUAUGAGACAUCCUUGGUCAACACGCUGUAAUUAAAUAAGGAAUCAUAUAUUUUAUUCCCUGGAAAGUGUCCAUUUCCUGCUUAAUCUGACUAAGUAAGGGUGCAGUAACAAUAUGGCACACUACAAUGUUAUUAAUUGUACAAAGCAAAUCUCAAGAACCAUAAUAUAUUAACACCAAUUUCUAAAGCUCACUAUUGCUGAAGAAGCUUAUGUUACCAAGACAAAGAAAAUUGCAGAGGAGAAUGAGUCAUGGCAAUGGCAAACAGCCACCUCUGAUGUCCUAAACUCUGUCAUCAAUAAAAUUCAGCUGCUUAAGGUUCAGCUUGAAUUUAUGGCAAACUUUGAGAAAGCACCAGCUUAACUUGCAGAAUCAUUGGACUUGGAACUCUUGAACUUGAAGCAAAACCUGGCAGAACAUCUUUUGGAGAACAUGAAAAAAACCAACUCAUAGAUAGUUAUGAAUCAUAUCAAUCCAACAAAUCAGUCAAUGAGGCUUUGAGGCAACUUGAGGUUUCAAAAAGAACUUUAGAGAUCAAAAGGGAUGAUGCUGCAAAAUCUGUACAUAGCUCAAAAAUCCAUAGGUGGACACAGUGCUGGAAUGAAACGUAAUUCAAAGAGAAAAUAGUCACUCAUGAAUUUCAGAGCAGAAUCUCAAGAGAUGGCAAUAAGAAGGUGUAAGUCAGAAGUUUCAGUUACACAAUCAACCUAAAUGACGCUAUUGAUGAGCAAUUUUAAUUGAAAUAAUCAGUAAAUCAAAUCAAUCAUCAGAGAAUAUCUUCGGUCCUAGCAGUUGUAGUAAGAAGUACAAACCAGAAGUCAUGGCCAUUGGCAUCUCCUAUUUCAGUUAUAGAUGCAAUAAUAAGCAUGAAUGAGCAAUCAUUAGGCAGUUUCAAAACACAAGGGUCAGGAUUAUUCCUGACUUUCAAUUAGCAACCCAAAGAGCACCACUACUCAGCUAUAAAAGGAGAGGCAUUACAACCAGAAAAAGGGGGUUCACCACACGAAAAUUAAAGAAAACAGAGCAUAUAUGCAGUGCUGUAAGGAUAAACAACACAGUGAAAGAGGCCAAAUCCCCUCUCAAAAUUCUAACACUACAGCACCUUCUUAGUCAGAAUUUCUCAAUCAACCCCACUAAAACUUGUCAUCCUCUCUUUAUCCUACCAUCCCUAAAAAUUCCACGAUAUCAUACAUAUAUCAUAUACACCACACUCAGCAAAAAGAGAGGAGAACACGUACAUAUCACACAUACAUUGUGAAAUCAACAUAUAUUCAC